rnacentral:rRNA from 1 species
GCACGCCGCGUGAGGGAUGACGGCCUUCGGGUUGUAAACCUCUUUUAGCAGGGAAGAAGCGAAAGUGACGGUACCUGCAGAAAAAGCGCCGGCUAACUACGUGCCAGCAGCCGCGGUAAUACGUAGGGCGCAAGCGUUAUCCGGAAUUAUUGGGCGUAAAGAGCUCGUAGGCGGUUUGUCGCGUCUGCUGUGAAAUCCCGAGGCUCAACCUCGGGCCUGCAGUGGGUACGGGCAGACUAGAGUGCGGUAGGGGAGAUUGGAAUUCCUGGUGUAGCGGUGGAAUGCGCAGAUAUCAGGAGGAACACCGAUGGCGAAGGCAGAUCUCUGGGCCGUAACUGACGCUGAGGAGCGAAAGGGUGGGGAGCAAACAGGAUUAGAUACCCUGGUA